rnacentral:rRNA from 1 species
UACGUAGGGGGCAAGCGUUGUCCGGAAUUAUUGGGCGUAAAGAGCGCGUAGGCGGUCCGAUAAGUCGGCUGUGAAAGUCAGGGGCUCAACCCUUGAAAGCCGGCCGAUACUGUCGGACUAGAGUCCGGAAGAGGCGAGUGGAAUUCCCGGUGUAGCGGUGAAAUGCGCAGAUAUCGGGAGGAACACCAACGGCGAAGGCAGCACUCUGGGCUGGAACUGACGCUGAGGAGCAAAAGCGUGGGUAGCAAACAGG